GUCGAGAAUCUUCCGCAAUGGGGGCAACCCUGACGGAGCGACGCCGCGUGCGGGAUGAAGGCCUUCGGGUUGUAAACCGCUGUCACACGUUAUGAAAGAAACGGAGUUAAAAGCUCUGGGUCUUGACAAAGGCGUGGGAGGAAGCCACGGCUAACUUCGUGCCAGCAGCCGCGGUAAGACGAAGGUGGCGACCGUUGUUCGGAAUCACUGGGCAUAAAGAGCUCGUAGGCGGUGAGAAAAGUCGGGUGUGAAAUCCCUCGGCCCAACCGAGGAACUGCGCUCGAAACUGUCUUGCUUGAGGACGGAAGGGGAGCAUGGAAUUCCUGGUGGAGCGGUGAAAUGCGUUGAUAUCAGGAGGAACACCGGCGGCGAAGGCGAUGCUCUGGUCCGUUUCUGACGCUGAGGAGCGAAAGCUAGGGGAGCAAACGGGAUUAGAUACCCCAGUAGUCC
rnacentral:rRNA from 1 species